rnacentral:tRNA from 1 species
GCCGGAGUGGCGGAAUUGGCAGACGCGCCGGACUCAAAAUCCGGUUUGGGUGAUACCAAGUGUGGGUUCGAGUCCCACCUCCGGUACCA